UGGCAUGCAAGGCCAGGUGUGCACUGGCUCACACCUGUAACCCCAGCACUUUGGGAUGCCAAGGCAGGUGGAUCACUUGAGGCCAGGAGUUCAAGACCAGCCUGGCAACAGGGCGAAACCCCAUCUCUAUUUAAAAAAAAAAAAAGAAGAAGAAAAAACUGGCCUACAAAAGCUUUCAUUGGGAAAAACUCUCUGACAUGAGAGUUGGGCUUUAGGUUACCUGGGUUGCAUGCAUACAAGGUUGUGAAUGCGUUAGCUGAGAGCUAGGAAGAAGCUGCGUGGCAUCAUGAUGCUUUGGUGGCCUCGUCUCCUGUGGAGCCUGUGGAGGCAUGUGUGUGGAUGAGUUGAUUUCCAUGGAGUAACAUUUUUAGUUCUGCAUGUAAGUUUGUCUGGAUUAUAUUUAUUUAAUGCUUUUAAAACUUUAAAUCAUGGUAAGGCUGGUCUCAAACUCCUGACCUUGUGAUCUGCCCUCCUCAGCCUCCCAAAGUGCUGGGAUGACAGGCGU
rnacentral:lncRNA from 1 species